rnacentral:rRNA from 1 species
UACGAAGGGGGCUAGCGUUGCUCGGAAUCACUGGGCGUAAAGCGCACGUAGGCGGCUUUCUAAGUCAGGGGUGAAAUCCUGGGGCUCAACUCCAGAACUGCCUUUGAUACUGGAGAGCUUGAGUCCGGAAGAGGUGAGUGGAACUCCGAGUGUAGAGGUGAAAUUCGUAGAUAUUCGGAAGAACACCAGUGGCGAAGGCGGCUCACUGGUCCGGUACUGACGCUGAUGUGCGAAAGCGUGGGGAGCAAACAGG